UUUAAUGCAUUACCAAUC
rnacentral:snRNA from 1 species